UUUGGGUUUUCAUUCAUGGAGUAAAUGAACGUAGAAUCCGAGAAUGUGAGGCUGGAUGCAACGGUUCAUUUACCGGCGAUUCAGCGAACGAACCCUCCGUUCCCAGUUAUUACUCUGACGGUUCAGAUAUUCUCAUUUGCAAACCCUAUCUUCAUUCAGCCUCCCGUUCCUCUCCAUCACCUGCAACUCCACAGCUUUAUGUCGAGGAUCGAUUUGGUUCAUCUUAAUCUUAUUUUGAAAGGGAAGCUGAUUUGGGAACCCUAAAAUACUAUGCAUCGCUCUGUAAGUUUAUUUCAAAUUCAGUUUUGAUGAAGCUAAUUUUAUGUUAUGUUGACUUCUUUUACUUCUUGGAAAGCCCAAAAUACUCGCGGGUCUCCCAACCAUUAAGGUGAAUUUAAUUUAUAAGUUUCAUUGUUUUGCUUUUUUGCAAUUGGGUGUUUAGGAAAGCUGAUACUUUUGCGCUUUCGAUACAUUUUAGUUCAAAUGUUAUUUUUUUAAACCGCUGCAAAAUCAGGUAUAUUUGUAUAAGAAAGGGUAUAUUUGUCAAUUCAGUAUGUGGGUUUUUGAGGAUGCAGGGGUCAAGAUCAGUGAUGAAGUUCAAUUAAGAAUUUGAUGACUCCAAUUCAAUGAAUGAGAGAUUUAAUAAGAGUAAAGUGUGGGGUACUUAACGAAUUCCAAUGUAAUGAAUUUGAUGUCAGUCCGGACACUCGCUACAACGCGCGGACAUUCCCACUGUUUAUAAAAGUCUCUAAGAUUGAAGGGAGUGGGGCGUCUCCCCUGCCCAAGCCGCCCCAAGCCGCCUCGCACACUGCCCCCCAUCGGCGUCCCCCCUUUGGGCGUCCUCUUCUCGUCGCCAACUCCUCACACAAAUCUAGAAUUCCCCCCUACUUUGACCAAUUAUUGUUUUUUUUAAACCAAAUCACCUAUAUAUAUAACACUUUAUAUUUUUAAAUGGGUGUCACGUGUCGCAAGACGCCCUACCCAGUAAAGUUGCCCCACUCCCCCUUUUUUGCUCAAAAUCCUCUAAUCUGACGUGGCGCCACGUGUCGCAAGACGCCCUCUCAAAAGGAUGCCCCACUCCCUUUAGUCUAAAGUUAAAUAAAUACAUCAUCAAGUUUGUCUCAAUUUUUGUGUAAACUCAGUCAAUCGGGUUAAAAAAAUAAGAAAUGUAAAUCCUAAAUGCUUUGCAGCUAUCUGAAUUGUCCUUCCGUAACUUGACACAUGAGGAACCCUUACAUUGGGAUAAGAGAUGUAAAUUUUAAAUGCUUUGCAGCUAUUUAAAUUUACUCGUGAAGAUACUAUGUCUUGCUAUGCUUUUUAAUUGUUCUUAUUUUUCUUUUCGUAUAUUAUUAUUAUUGUUAUUGUUAUAAGUAAUGUGAAUGUACUGGUGAGUGAAGUAUAUUGGUCACUUGGUCCAAGAUAGGACUUCGUGGAGGCGUAGGAUUAGGGUUAAGGACUUCUAGAGGAUAUUGCAGGAAGGACUUAGGUGUAUUUUAGGACUUAAGUUUUUCUUAUUCUUUAAAUGACUUAACCGGUGAUUGACUUUCUUGUGUACAUGCCUGAAUGAUGUUCUAUGCUAUUAUACACGAUUUACAUUAUACUGUGUCAAUCUGAUCACUAGCUUGGUGUAGCUGACUUUUUUUUUUUCUAUAUUCUUUGACUUGAUGUGUUGGUUUGUUGUUUGUUUUGGAGCCGGGGGUCUCUUCUGGAAGCAGCCUCUCUAUCCCUAGGGAUAGAGGCAAGGUCUGUCUACAUCCCACCCUCCCCAGACCCUAUGAGUAGCAUCGCUAUUUGUGGGAUUUACUGGGUAUGGUUGUUGUUGUUGUUGUUGUUCCUUAUGCCGCCAAGAAGUUCUCCAAAAUUAGGGAUCUGUCGUAAUACGAAAGGGACCUGCCUUACUACUGAACAAUGCUUGUUGAACAAAAACAGGAAUGCGCAUCUGACCAAAGAACAAAUAGAAGAUGUGCUCAACUGUAACACCCUUGUUAUUUUAUAUGUAAAUACCACAAUUAGAUGUGUAGUUAGGACCACACAUAUUAUAUAA